GGGGUCACCAAGAGUCAGACAUGACUUGGUGACUACACAACAGUCACAGAUUUAACAUUGCAUUUAAGAGAAGUGUGCCAAGGGUGGAGGCAGCCCUGUCUCCUGAGGGACUAGAAUCAAGAACCGGGGAGCUGGUAGGAAGCUGGGGAGCAUGCUGCCUUUCUCCUCUCUGCUUUUCUCUCUCUGUAGAUGUCUCUUUCCUCUUUUUUUGCAGGUAUUUUUACUGACUCAGGGUGCACAGCCCCAAGCACAGUUGAUUCACAGUUCCUUGGCGCAUCUUUUCUGUUGGAGAAACCAGGACAGACUGAGAUGAACAUUUUUGUCUUGAUUUCAAACUCAAGUGAGGAAGACUGAUCUGCCCAGCUCGGGCCAGAGUUAUCGCUCAAUAACUCGUGUGAUCACAAACUUAAUAGAACUGAUUUUAUAUUUUCGAAGGAAAAAAUGUGAAUCAUAUAUGUUGCUAGUUAAAACCAUGUUACCCUGCUGGGCUUUAAAUUCUCAGAAGCCUGGGAGAAAAACAUCUUGGAAGGGUGAAAAAACAGUAGUAGAUGUCCCCGGGCACACAUCGGGCCGUCUCUCUGGGAACCUAGAACACGUGCUUGACUUCUGUUCUCAGAGGAGACUGACUGAGCCCAUCACAGCUGUCCCAGGGCAUCCCCCAAUCCAUUCUUGACAAGUGUGAAGAGCCUGAAGAGUAAAUAAUCUUCAGAAAUGCCGUGGUGUCAAAGGAGCUGGUCCACAGUCAUGCCGUGAUGCUCUGGUUUCAAUGAUUCCCAGGAGCAGCCCCAGAGGCGGUUAAAGGCAGAGCCAGAUGCCCCUGAAGCGUAUGCAUUCUAUAAGGAGUUUCUGUUCUUUGGUGGAGCAUCUUUAGAAGCAAAAAUCAAAGACAAAUAGGUCAUCUCCUUCCUCUAAGUUUCCUGGAGAAAGACUGGCCAUAAAAAAGAGUCAGCACUGGUAACUAAUGGAGAUGAACGAAAUAAAGCCAGGGAAGAUGUUGACAUUUUUUAAAAAGAAUUUUUAAAGGAAAAACAAUGAAGUAUUGCUGCCUAAGUUUUGAGCUAACCAGAGAAAAUCACCAUCACAGUCACCAAAUCAAAUAGCUGCAUGGGACCUAAGAGGUUUCUCAGGAGGCAGGCUUCUCUUUUCAGCCUUGUGAGUGGGCUUGCAGGGAAAACCCUUUCACUCAUAAUAUGCAGCUCCCACCUCCUUGACUUCAGAGCAAAGCACCCUACCCCCUUCUGUAUCCUGUCAUCUCGGCUGUGCAACAGACCUCCCCUUAACUCACUGCACUCAGAGACCAGGCUGCACCUUUAACAAGCUUAACUGAAGCGUGGGGAGUGACUGAAGAGAAGGACAUCGUAGCACCGCUGCUGGAUUUGGCUCCCCGGUCCUCAGCCUCCGGGAUCUAAUGCCUGAUGAUCUGAGGUGGAAGCUGAUAUAAUUAUAAUAGAAAUAAACUGCACGAUAAAUGUAAUGCAUUUGAAUCGUCCUGAAACCACCCUCUCUGCCUCCUGGUCCGUGGCAAAAUGGCCUUCCACGAAAUCAAUCCCUGGUGCCAAGAAAGUUGGGGACCCCUGAGCUACCAGAUGAGCUUACCCCAAACCCAGCAAGGCUCAGAGCCAUUCUGAGUCCUCCACAAAGAUAUGCCUGUGUAGCUCCCAUCCCUGUCCUGCUCAGGCCAACCCCAGAGGCGGGUUAAAGGUAUCCACAACUCCAAGCACAAGCCCGCUGCCAAGCUCCAGACAUGGGAAGGAGGUGUUUCCUUCCCCCAGUUUGGAGCCCACUUCUCCAGUUAUCAUUGGUCCAGUGACCAAUUACUUUUCCUAAG